rnacentral:rRNA from 1 species
AGCGAACGCUGGCGGCAUGCCUAACACAUGCAAGUCGAACGAACCUUUCGGGGUUAUUGGCGGACGGGUGAGUAACACGUGGGAACGUGCCCUUAGGUUCGGAAUAACUCAGGGAAACUUGUGCUAAUACCGAAUGUGCCCUUCGGGGGAAAGAUUUAUCGCCUUUGGAGCGGCCCGCGUCUGAUUAGCUAGUUGGUUGAGGUAAUGGCUCACCAAGGCGUCGUUCAGUAGCUGUGAUGUAAGGAUGAUCAGCCACAUUGGGACUGAGACACGGACCAAACUCCUACGGGAGGCAGCAGUGGGGAAUCUUGCGCAAUGGGGGAAAGCAUAACGCAGCCAUGCCGCGUGAAUGAUGCAGGUCUUAGGAUUGUGAAAUUGUUUCACCGGGGACGAUAAUGACGGUACCCGGAGAAGAAGCCCCGGCUAACUACGUG